GCUUGAGGGAAGGGCUGUUUUCAUUUGUUUAGAUGCAUGAACAGCGUUGGGUUCACAUUUGUGAAUUGCCACUAGGUGGUGCCAAAACCCAGUCUUUGAAUUCAGUCAUGUUUCUGCUCCUAGUGUGUAUGCUAGGAUAUUAAUGUUUGACAUUUUUCUUUGACAUGGUGCAUUUGUAUAGGCCCCUGGUGUACUGUAAAUCCUGCAGUUGUGUAGAAUGUCAGAAUGACUAGUUCUUGAAAAACACCCCAUCUUCAGUGUUACAAAGAACAUGAAGAAAUCUACCUCAACCCAGCGGAAACCUAUGCAAAGCUCAGACGGACAGGUGUGGACCAAGCCAACCCUGCCACCCCGCCACUCGCCACUGCUCUGACCUUCCCCUCACCGCUCCACUGAAACCCAACGCCGGCAUGGACAGCACCACACACUCACACUCACACACUCACACUCACUCACUCACACACACACACACACACACACCAGCCACGGUCACUGUAACGUAUACUGGCGAGAGGACAGAAAGGACUUGGCACAGUUGUCUGUCUCUCUGUCUCUGUCUCUGUCUCUGUCUCUGUCUCUGUCUCUGUCUCUGUCUCUGUGUGUGUGUGUGUGUGUGUCUCUGUCUGUCUGUCGUGUGUUCAGGCUUCUGCCAGUGUCUAUGCUGUGUAGCUGAAGUAGGCUCUGUGUGACUACUGUGUCUGCUAGGUGAGCCGACACAGUUGUCUCGAACAACGAGAGCUCUCAGUGCUUCUCAACUCUCACUCCACCUCCCAUCCCUCCCUCUGACUCUUCCUUCAAAGACCUUCCUACUUGCCGUGCAGAUCCUCUGCACUCCUCUCAGCCGAUUGGUGGUGUGUCUGUUAUCUUGUGGUGUGUACAGCAGUGGAGAGAAGGGAUUUAGGUGGAAGCAUAAAGAAGCUCAGCCCCCCUCCUUUCCAUUCCGUCUGUGGGUCUGUCUCUGUCUCACAACCGCCUCCCUAAGACCAAACACACCCUUACAGCUGCAUUGGCUUAGUGUAAUGCUGCACUGAUGCAUACCAAUGGGGCUUGUCCUCCGCUACACACACCUCUUGACUUCCAGCAUACUCAACCAGACACGGCACAGCCUGGUUCAACUUUAAACUCAUACUCAUACUCACACACACACACACACACACACACACACACAGGCAGGCAGGCAAAACAUGUGCACACAUACACACGCAUAUACUCGUAUUCAGAAUUCUGUGUGUUUUCAAAGGUGCUUUGUCUUUCUGUGAUUUCCGACGUGUCUCUGUCUCACACACACACGUUUUUCACAUGGUGCGUUUGGCAGAUGAAUUGUGGGAAUUCUCAGACUAAAUUCAGCCGGACAGUCUUAUCAGGUCUGCCACUUCAACUGCCGUUUCCCUAUCCUGGUCCCGCUGUUUCCUGCGGCUGGACAGAACACCAUUCCCAACGCAAGACUUUAUUUAUCGGACAGCUUCCUUAUUUGAAUGACAAAGCGCAACGCCGAGCAUCCUGCUGAACCCAUGCUGUUAGGAAAGGCUCUUUGGAGACUGGUCGUGUCUCUGCUCAGUCUAAAGUUUCAGGUAAUCAUGUGGGUUUUGUAUCAAUUCCGAGGUGUGGUGCUUAAACGUGUCGCUACAGGAACCCUGCCUUACCCCCGGCCCCCCAACACUGUUCCAGUCCUGUUGACCGCCUGUCUACCCAACCAGCACUCACUGAACACUCACUCAUAUAGCCUCAACAACACACCCCUCACAACACACACUGGGAAAUGCAAAAAUAAUAACAAAAAGAGGGAAAGGAAGAAAAAAACACAAAACUACUGGGCGACAUUCACUCUUCCUUUUGUUUUUGUUCUGUAUGUUUGUUUAUUGGUGGAUAAUUCCUAUUCUAAUGUUAACGAAUCUUGUACUGUGAAUGGGAGGUCUUCUCAUACUGUGUAAUUGUGCAUUAUUUAGUUUAUUUAUCUUUUGCGUCUCUUUCCAAGCAAAGGUGAUGGUGUGUGCGAGUGUGUAUGAGUUUAUCUUAUGUUUUUCUGUUUGUUUGUUUUGUUUGUUUUUAAUCUAUUGAUAAAGAGUAUAAUUGUGUAGAAUGCAAUAGAUUGUUUUUAAAAAAAAAGUGCGUGCUUGACUCACAGUCUAAAAAGAAAACUGAAAAACAACAACAAAGAUGGUGCUACAAUCUGUACAACUCUGGACUGUGCCUAUUUAUAUGAAGAACAUCAGUAAUAAUAAUUAUCGAUUCUUGGUGCUUCUUUUUCACAGGGAUGAAACGGAGGCCUCUUUAUGGCUCUCCGGUGUUUUGUUUUUUUUGUUUUUGUUUUUGUUUUUGUUUGUUUGUCUUCUAUUUAUAAUGUAAUGACAUUUCCUUAAGCGCGUAGUGUGAAAGAGUCCCUGCACGUUUCGAUAAACUUAGUUGCGAUGUUGUUUGGCACAGAGUAUAUAUGUACAUAUAUACAGUAUUUUGGCAUAUAGCUCAACACCUGUUUUUGUUUUGUUCUUGUUAAGACGUUUUUUUGUUUGUUUUGCAUUCAGGAUAAUGUGCAAGUGCAUGUGACGUCAGUGGGUGUCUGUAGAGCUUUCUCUAGGUGUAGAGAGAUGUUAUACAGCCAAAAGGUUGGCAGGCUUAGUACACAGAGCCAGAAUGGCUCCUUUGGUGCUUAGCUUUUAAGGUGUGACCCUUCACCUUUAACCUUUCUGACCCUUCUCAUUUAUUGGUGCUGAAGCCCAGAGAAGUCCAGGUGAUUAUUUUUUUUGUUGUUUUUUUGUAGAAGUCGUUAGUCAGCGCUGUGUGGUUCUCUGGGAAGCGGACCCCCACGGAGGGGGGUCAUCAUGUAUGUGGUUGAGCGAAAUCCUACUUCACUUGGUGCUGCACAAUUGUGCCUCGCAGGUCUUACCUGUGCACAGUUCUCCCACCAUCAUCAUGGUGCUUGCGCAGUCACGCUCCUUAGCAGGGUUCCUCGCUUCUCUCAUCCCUCUGAGCCAGCCUGGUCACAUGGCCCAGGCCUCCGAAAGCUCCCUCUCUCACACAGCUGUGGGAACGCUCAGCUCUUUGCCUCACUGCUGCUGGAGAGGGAGAGAGGGGGGGAGAAAGAGAAGGCGAGAGCUUAAAGUCAACAACUAAUUGUGGUGCUGCUUGACCUGCUGGAAUCAAAAACACAAGUGAUAGCUGGUGCAUCUGAUACCAAAACCCGCCUCUCUGACCUUUAAAACUUUCAGCGCCUCUGCGUUGGUGCCACAUCAUUAGUGAAUGAUGUUAAAAUGUGAGCUGUCAUAGAAAUACUAGCACACAGACUUUGGACUGUUUUCUCCCGUCAAGUGUAGCUAUCUGUGGGCCACUCAACUUUCUCUCCACAAUCCUUUCUUUCCAACUAUCAGGUUUUUGGUUUGGAUUUCUGUUCUUUCCAAUUCUUUUUUUUUUUUUCUUCUUCUCUUGUACACGUUCAGGGAGAGCUCGGAGUCGGACUCACCUCAGCUUUACAGUCUGAAUGCUGUUGGGUAGGACACACUUUUUUUCUCUUUUUUUUUCUCCUAAUCCGAGAUGUUCCCUGAGCCUUUCUGUCUCUGCAUCUCCCACAAAACGAGGACACACUUACACACAACAACAGGAACAACACACACACACACACACGCCCAUGCUGUGGACCAGAGAAGCAAGUCCUUCAUUACCAGCACUGAAAGGGUUUUUAUGUUUAUGGGUUUUUCUGUUUGUUUAUGAAUUGUUGUUAUUGUAAUUGUUACAACUUUGAUUUUACUCGUGUUUGAUAUAAUUGCAAAUGGUGAUGCUUUUAAUAAGACUUAAGAGAUCCAGAUGGUUUUAAUACUCUUUAGACAGUAAGGUGCUCUCCUACACUUAAAACAAGGAAAAAUGCAGCUAUGAACAUAAUGAACGCCCUCUGCUGUGCUACAGAGGUGCAACUGUCUAAUAAACUUCAGUUUAAACCUGA